rnacentral:rRNA from 1 species
UACGUAGGGUGCAAGCGUUGUUCGGAAUCAUUGGGCGUAAAGGGCGCGUAGGCGGUUUCGUAAGUCGAAUGUGGAAGCCCAGGGCUCAACCUUGGAAGUGCAUCCGAAACUGUGAAACUUGAAUCCUGGAGAGGGUGGUGGAAUUCCCAGUGUAGAGGUGAAAUUCGUAGAUAUUGGGAGGAACACCGGUGGCGAAGGCGACCACCUGGACAGAGAUUGACGCUGAGGCGCGAGAGCGUGGGGAGCAAACAGG